rnacentral:rRNA from 1 species
GUGGUUCUGUAUGGAAGGGCCAUCGCUCAACGGAUAAAAGGUACUCUGGGGAUAACAGGCUGAUACCGCCCAAGAGUUCAUAUCGACGGCGGUGUUUGGCACCUCGAUGUCGGCUCAUCUCAUCCUGGGGCUGAAGCAGGUCCCAAGGGUAUGGCUGUUCGCCAUUUAAAGAGGUACGCGAGCUGGGUUUAGAACGUCGUGAGACAGUUCGGUCCCUAUCUACCGUGGGCGUUGGAAAUUUGAGAGGAUCUGCUCCUAGUACGAGAGGACCAGAGUGGACGAACCUCUGGUGUUCCGGUUGUUUCGCCAGAAGCAUCGCCGGGUAGCUACGUUCGGAUGGGAUAACCGCUGAAAGCAUCUAAGCGGGAAGCCCACCUCAAGAUGAGAUUUCCCUAAAGAGCCGUUGUAGACGACGACGUUGAUAGGUUGGGUGUGGAAGUGUAGUGAUACAUGUAGCUAACCAAUACUAAUUGCUCGUUUGGCUUGACCAU